rfam:Ictidomys tridecemlineatus contig018440, whole genome shotgun sequence.
GGGGCUGUAGCUCAGUGGUAGAGCACUUGCCUAGCAUGUGUGAGACCUGGGUUCGAUCCUCAGCACCA